UAUAUAUAUUCCCCUAGUCCAUCAUCUAGAGGGACGCGCGUCCGUAGCAGCUCUGCCCAUCAGGCCCGUGAACCGAGCAUUCUCGCCUCCGUGCCUGAGCUCGUCCUCGACGCCGUGUCGGCUUAUCGAGGGAGAAGCUGACCGGAGGAUCCGACCCAAGCUUGAUGAGACCUACCUAGCCUCAAUUACCGUCCGACUCCUGUGACUCCCUUGUCAGCUCCGGCCAUCCCCGUCGUCCCCGAGCUGGAUCUGCUCUGUUCUUGGUCUUCUCGCUAGCCACCACCGUCUUCAUCAUGGAGUUCAUGUCGCCGAGCCUCCACGCGAGCCAGGCGCUCCCCUGCUCGACAUCGAGUGCAUGGCCGCGCGUGCAAGCAAGUGCCCUCGCCCAUGACUCCGCACUAGCGCGACCUUGUCGGUGACCGCCGCCAAGCAAGGACCUUGCCGCCCCUCUCCUUCCCUCUUCCUCCUCUUUUUCUCUCUCCCUAGUUCUCUCAUUCUCUCUCUGUAACUCGUAGCCGCAGGAGCCUUGCCAUGGCCGACCACCUCCCGCGCCUUGGAUCUGGAGCUCCGACCCUCGCUCGAUGUCGUUCUUUGCUGGAUCCGGAUCCUCACGCCGUCCCCUUUCCGUUCACGGCAACCUCAUCAUUCUCGUGCCACGGAACCUCCUCUCCAAGUCGAGCUGCCGUGCACUGCAACAUGCAUCGCCAUCCACUCGAACAGAAGAUGCGAUCUCUGUUUCCUGUUUUCAGUUUAGUUCAGAUAGUGACAAGGUAUAGUUUAUCUAGAGAAAAACUCAUUGUUUCCCAUAGCUCCUUGUUAGCCUAGUUGUUCAGUGCUUUGGAUUUCAACCAGAAGGUCAUUGGUUCGAGACCCACAUGCCCCAAUACUUUGCGCUA